rnacentral:rRNA from 1 species
CGUGUAGGCGGCCAGACAAGUCAGAUGUGAAAGCCCAGGGCUCAACCCUGGAAGUGCAUUUGAAACUGUUUGGCUUGAGUGCGGGAGAGGAAAGCGGAAUUCCCAGUGUAGAGGUGAAAUUCGUAGAUAUUGGGAGGAACACCGGUGGCGAAGGCGGCUUUCUGGACCGACACUGACGCUGAGGCGCGAAAGCGUGGGGAGCAAACA